ACUGUUGAGCACAAAUGAACAUAUUCAAUUGUUUAAAUAUGGAUCAAAUAGUAUAUAUAAUUAUUAAUAAUAUUCUUAUAAAUAGAAAAAAAAAAACAAAAUGUGUUGUAUUAUUUUGAGUUUGUUUAUCAACUGAUACGCCACAGUUUACCACAAUGUGGCACUGGUUGUGCGUUAGCGCACGUGUGAGAGGUUGGACUUGAAACCGGUGCACUCACACAGACGACACUUUCGUUCAGAGAAGCUUUAGAUGCAGCCUGCAGUUGUAGUUGUAGAUGGAGAGCACGUGUACACGUGUGUGCCAGAGCUUUGUUGUGUGUUCUGUCGCACUCGAUGUCCAAUUAAAGAUGUAUUUAUAGCGCUUUGCAAACCUAUAUGGCGCAAUUCAAUCAACCCAACUUAACUUCAAUCAACGCGGACUUAUCGAUACAACAUCGAAACCGUCCGACCAUCAGAAAUAUACCGAAACAUACCGUCUCAUUUAAAAAA